CCCAUUCAACAGAAUACAGCGAUAGGUGUACUGUUACCCCAUUACAUAUAUGCACUAUCUCCCUCAACAACAGUGGAUAGUUCCGACUAUAUAUAAUAAUCACUGUGUGCAGGAUAGCAACCGGUAAUUUCCUUUUCUAACUACUGCAAAUAAGCUGAUCAAGUGGACAUAUUACUUCCGAACUGAGAUCAUUGUCAUUGAGUCUUCUACCACAUCAAGAUGGCACAACCGCCACCACCACCACAAAUGGCAAUGAACCCUGUCGGGCAACAGCCGGGCGGGAAGCCCCCUGUCAACUGGAUGCCUGCCCCCACAGUUGCUGCACCUCAAGGUUGCCCGCCAGGUCUGGAAUACCUUACACAAGUCGACCAGCUGCUUGUUCACCAGAUCGUCGAGCUCUUCGAAAUGUUCACUGGUGUUGAGAUGGCAAACAGAUAUGCCAUCAAGAACAGUCUUGGCCAACAGGUCUACUUUGCACACGAAGAGUCAGACUUCUGCAUGCGUCAAUGCUGUGGACCCCAGCGUGGUUUUAUCAUUCAUAUCACGGACAAUAGUCAACAGGAGGUGAUGCGUCUUGAACGUGAAUUCAAGUUCUGUGCUGGUUGUGGAUGGUGCGCUGGUCCUGACAGUGAGACCUGUUCUUUUGAGGUCAGGGUUGAAGCCCCAGUGGGUAACAUCAUCGGAUACGUUAGACAGGCGCAAUACUACCUUGGGCCCAAGUUUGACAUCCUUGAUGCUGAGAGGAAACCCGUAGUCAGGAUCAAAGGACCUUACUGUAUGUGUCAAGACAUCUGUUGCCAAGGAGAUAUCGAAUUCGAUGUCUUUACCGGUGACAUGGCUUCAACGAUUGGAAAGGUAUCGAAACAAUGGCCAGGUUGUUUCAAGCACGCGUGGACUGACGCUGACAACUUUGGUGUGACCUUCCCAGUCGAUCUGCAUGUAAACGUGAAGGCGACCCUCUUGGCGGCUGUGUUCCUUAUUGACUUCAUGUUCUUUGAGACGUCAAACAAUAACAACAAUUAAUCACCAGGAUUUCAUGUUCUUUGAGUCGACAAACAAUGAAAAUUGAUCAGGACUUCAUGUUCUUCGAGGAAUCGAACAACGGCGACAGUGGC
rnacentral:misc_RNA from 1 species